rfam:Triticum aestivum genome assembly, contig: Triticum_aestivum_CS42_TGACv1_scaffold_405444_5BL
GGAGUACUCCCUUCAUCCGAAAAUACUUGUCAUCAAAAUUAAUAAAAAGAGAUGUAUCUAGAACUAAAAUACGUUUAAAUAUAUUUUAUUUUAUCCAUUUUGAUGACAAGUAUUUCCAGACGGAGGGAGUAGUUG